rnacentral:lncRNA from 1 species
UAUUUCCCCUUCUCGAGCUCUGCCAAUUACUGACCUCACGGGCCGGGGCAAGUGGCGCCCAACGUGGGGCUCGAGACACGGGGUCUUCACCUGGUGGAUGCUGCUCAGAAGAUCGGCCGAUCGACUCAUAAGCAGUCCGCUCAGACCCACCCAUCUGAGAAAGUGACUGUGCAUAGCAAAUACGCUCAGACCCACCCAUCUGAGAAAGCGACCUGCGAGGUUUCCAAGGCCAAAAUGCCCUCAAGUGUGAAUUUCCGAUCCUUGCUUCCCCUGGUCUUCAUCAAAACUUC